rnacentral:rRNA from 1 species
ACCUCAAGAUGAGAUUUCCCAUAGCGUAAGCUAGUAAGACUCCUGGAAGAACACCAGGUUGAUAGGUCAGAGAUGUAAGCAUGGCAACAUGUUAAGUUGACUGAUACUAAUAAGUCGAGGGCUUGACCAAAA